GACGAACGCUGGCGGCGUGGAUUAGGCAUGCAAGUCGAACGGUAUCAUCCUUUCGGGGGUGAGAGAGUGGCGAACUGGUGAGUAACACGUAGGUUAUCUACCCUCAAGACGGGGACAACCCAGGGAAACUUGGGCUAAUACCGGAUGUGAGCAACUUUUAGUUGUUUGAAAGGUGGCGUAAGCUGUCGCUUGGGGAUGAGCCUGCGUCCUAUUAGUUAGUUGGUGAGGUAACGGCUCACCUAGGCAAUGAUAGGUAGGCGGCCUUAACGGGUGGUCGCCCACACUGGGAUUGAGAUACGGCCCAGACUCCUACGGGAGGCAGCAGUCGAGAAUAGUCUACAAUGGUCGGAAGACUGAUAGUGCGACGCCGCGUGAACGAUGAAUCCCUUCGGGUGUAAAGUUCUUUUAUAUGUGAGCAGUGCUUCUUAUAUUAACAGUUAUGGGGAAGAGAUAUUAGCAUAUGAAUAAGCAACGGCUAACUCCGUGCCAGCAGCCGCGGUAAUCUCG
rnacentral:rRNA from 1 species